rnacentral:rRNA from 1 species
GGCUCAGAGCGAACGUUAGCGGCGCGCCUAACACAUGCAAGUCGCACGCGAAAGGGGCAACCCAAGUAAAGUGGCGCACGGGUGCGUAACACGUAGAUAACCUGCCCUUUGGAGGGGGAUAACGUUCCGAAAGGAGCGCUAAUACCGCAUACAGCAUUCUGGGGUUCGCUCCGGGAUGGCAAAGGUAGGGACCCGCAAGGGCCUACCGCCAGAGGAGGGGUCUGCGGCCCAUCAGCUAGUUGGUGAGGUAAUGGCUCACCAAGGCAAAGACGGGUAGCUGGUCUGAGAGGAUGAUCAGCCACACUGGUACUGGAACACGGACCAGACUCCUACGGGAGGCAGCAGUGGGGAAUCUUGGUCAAUGGGCGAAAGCCUGAACCAGCGACGCCGCGUGAGUGAUGAAGGCCUUCGGGUUGUAAAGCUCUGUGGGGCGAGACGAAAACGCACGUUCUAACAGGACGUGUCUUGACGGUAUCGCCUUAGCAAGCACCGGCUAACUCUGUGCCAGCAGCCGCGGUAAGACAGAGGGUGCAAACGUUGCUCGGAAUCACUGGGCGUAAAGGGCGUGUAGGCGGGAGAGAAAGUCGGGCGUGAAAUCCCUGGGCUCAACCCAGGAACUGCACUCGAAACUUCUUUUCUUGAGUGCCGGAGAGGAAAGCGGAAUACCUGGUGUAGAGGUGAAAUUCGUAGAUAUCAGGUGGAACACCAGUGGCGAAGGCGGCUUUCUGGACGGUAACUGACGCUGAGACGCGAAAGCGUGGGGAGCAAACAGGAUUAGAUACCCUGGUAGUCCACGCUGUAAACGAUGAGUGCUAGGUGUCGUGGGUAUUGACCCCCGCGGUGCCGUAGCUAACGCAUUAAGCACUCCGCCUGGGAAGUACGGGUCGCAGACUA